rnacentral:rRNA from 1 species
GACGAACGCUGGCGGCGUGCCUAAUACAUGCAAGUCGAACGCUGAAGAGAGGAGCUUGCUCUUCUUGGAUGAGUUGCGAACGGGUGAGUAACGCGUAGGUAACCUGCCUUGUAGCGGGGGAUAACUAUUGGAAACGAUAGCUAAUACCGCAUAACAAUGGAUGACACAUGUCAUUUAUUUGAAAGGGGCAAUUGCUCCACUACAAGAUGGACCUGCGUUGUAUUAGCUAGUAGGUGAGGUAAUGGCUCACCUAGGCGACGAUACAUAGCCGACCUGAGAGGGGGAUCGGCCACACUGGGACGGAGACACGGCCCAGACUCCUACGGGAGGCAGCAGUAGGGUAUCUUCGGCAAUGGGGGCAACCCUGACCGAGCAACGCCGCGUGAGUGAAGAAGGGUUUCGGAUCGUAAAGCUCUGUUGUAAGUCAAGAACGGGUGUGAGAGUGGAAAGUUCACACUGUGACGGUAGCUUACCAGAAAGGGACGGCUAACUACGUG